rnacentral:lncRNA from 1 species
AUACACACAAGUAAGCCACCAAGCCUGCCCCUCUGCCCUACAAAACUGGACCGAAAUACUGUGAUUUUGAAAUUUUGUCUGUCCUGUGUGCCCAAUGUGUCUCCUCCAAGCAAUCAAAAUACCACCACUUGCCCCCACAGAUGGGAGGUACACAUACUCAGAAAAAUCAGCUCCCAACAUAGACAGAAUGUUUCUCCUAGAGAUGUUCUGCAUUUUUGUUUCUUGCAAGCACACCACAUCAACCUGGGAGGAGUCCACCAAUUCUUUUAUUGAGUCCUGCCUAACAGAGGAAUUCAGCCCCCUCACAUUCCAAAUUAAAAGUUUUCCAGGAUCCAUAGAAAACAGAUAAAAGCCACUACAGAAAACACCAGGAGGCCGGGGACCUAACAAACAAGUCCAGGAGGAGGGGUCCAACCAAAGAGGGCUGCCAAAGCUUCUACCUGGUUAUGGGACAAAGGUUGCUUGAAAAUCUUUGCAUACGCGUCUAGUGCUUCCUGGGUAGUACCAUUGUCAUCAGAUAAGAUAUGCAAAGCUCUCAUAGCCUUUUUAGUAGACCUAUUACCCCAAUCUCGCAUAUUAAACUCAACCCCAGCCCCCGCAAUGCGUCGGCUGCGCCUAGGAG